UACGUAGGGUGCUAGCGUUAAUCGGAAUUACUGGGCGUAAAGCGUGCGCAGGCGGUUUUGUAAGUCUGUCGUGAAAUCCCCGGGCUCAACCUGGGAAUUGCGAUGGAGACUGCAAGGCUGGAGUCUGGCAGAGGGGGGUAGAAUUCCACGUGUAGCAGUGAAAUGCGUAGAGAUGUGGAGGAACACCGAUGGCGAAGGCAGCCCCCUGGGUCAAGACUGACGCUCAUGCACGAAAGCGUGGGGAGCAAACAGG
rnacentral:rRNA from 1 species